UGAUAAACAAGAGACCUUACUGGAUAAUCAUUUCUAGGGAUUAUUUUUGGGAUCUUUACCACAGUUCUCUACCCUCCUUCCUACUUUCAUUGUCUCUCUCUUGCUCUGGUACUUGCUUUUCUUGUUCCCACAGGUCUAUAUCGUUUCACUUUUGACCGAUUGAAAGCUGUAAGACUCAUGCACUUAGCCAAGCUUUAAAGAAGAAAGCAGCUCAUUGUCAGACAAGCAGUGAGCAGUUUACGGAGAUCUGAAUGUGAAGGAGGCAAUCCCCAUUUGCCAUAAUCCUGGCUUGUGACAUUCAACAUUUAAAAAAAUUUAAUUGACAAAAAGUUCUUUCUUAUCAUUGAAUUGGAAUCUCUUAAUGAGUCAUUAUUCUUAGCUCCGCUUUUUGGAUUUGCACAGAAUAUUUUACAUAGAUUAUAUAAUCUCAGCUGGGAGAGAUGGGAGAAUGGAAGAAAAAAACUAAGAGGAAUGAUGUUCAUACCUGUGCAGCUUACAAUAGCUAAUAUUUGGAAACAGCCCAAGUGCCCAUCAGCAGUGGGUAAAAAAGCUGUGGUACAA